rnacentral:tRNA from 1 species
GCCCGGUUAGCUCAAUCGGUAGAGCGUGAGACUCUUAAUCUCAAGGUUGGGGGUUCGACCCCCCCAUCGGGCU